CUCUGUUUUCUUUUCAUGUCCUCUUUCAUGACUUCAAUGUGCACUAUCUUUAGAAAAUAAAAGCAUACCAUGAUGGCGAGAUCAUUCUUCUCACCUACACCUUUGAAUAUUGCGCUCUAGUCAUCCACACUUUCACACUUU